CCUACGGGGGGCAGCAGUGGGGAAUAUUGCACAAUGGGCGCAAGCCUGAUGCAGCCAUGCCGCGUGUGUGAAGAAGGCCUUCGGGUUGUAAAGCACUUUCAGCGGGGAGGAAGGCGUUAAGGUUAAUAACCUUGGCGAUUGACGUUACCCGCAGAAGAAGCACCGGCUAACUCCGUGCCAGCAGCCGCGGUAAUACGGAGGGUGCAAGCGUUAAUCGGAAUUACUGGGCGUAAAGCGCACGCAGGCGGUCUGUCAAGUCGGAUGUGAAAUCCCCGGGCUCAACCUGGGAACUGCAUUCGAAACUGGCAGGCUAGAGUCUUGAAGAGGGGGGUAGAAUUCCAGGUGUAGCGGUGAAAUGCGUAGAGAUCUGGAGGAAUACCGGUGGCGAAGGCGGCCCCCUGGACAAAAACUGACGCUCAGGUGCGAAAGCGUGGGGAGCAAACAGGAUUAGAUACCCGAGUAGUC
rnacentral:rRNA from 1 species